UACGUAGGGGGCUAGCGUUGUCCGGAAUCAUUGGGCGUAAAGCGCGUGUAGGCGGUCCGGUAAGUCCGCUGUGAAAGCCGGGGGCUCAACCCUCGGAUGCCGGUGGAUACUGUCGGGCUUGAGUACGGAAGAGGCGAGUGGAAUUCCUGGUGUAGCGGUGAAAUGCGCAGAUAUCAGGAGGAACACCAAUUGCGAAGGCAGCUCGCUGGGACGUUAAGCUGACGCUGGAGACGCGAAAGCGUGGGAGCAAACAGG
rnacentral:rRNA from 1 species